rnacentral:rRNA from 1 species
UACGUAGGGUCCAAGCGUUAUCCGGAAUCACUGGGCGUAAAGCGUGCGUAGGCGGGAGCUUAAGUGCAAUGCGAAAUCUUGUGGCUCAACCAUAUAGACUGUAUUGCAUACUGGGCACCUGGAGGACGGCAGAGGCUAGUGGAAUUACUGGUGUAGCAGUGAAAUGCGUAGAUAUCAGUAGGAACACCAAUGGCGAAGGCAGCUAGCUGGGCCGUAUCUGACGCUAAGGCACGAAAGCGUGGGGAGCGAACAGG